rnacentral:rRNA from 1 species
GACGAACGCUGGCGGCGUGCCUAAUACAUGCAAGUUGAGCGAUGAAGAUUGGUGCUUGCACCAAUUUGAAGAGCAGCGAACGGGUGAGUAACGCGUGGGGAAUCUGCCUUUGAGCGGGGGACAACAUUUGGAAACGAAUGCUAAUACCGCAUAACAACUUUAAACAUAAGUUUUAAGUUUGAAAGAUGCAAUUGCAUCACUCAAAGAUGAUCCCGCGUUGUAUUAGCUAGUUGGUGAGGUAAAGGCUCACCAAGGCGAUGAUACAUAGCCGACCUGAGAGGGUGGUCGGCCACAUUGGGACUGAGACACGGCCCCAACUCCUACGGGGAGCAGCAGUAGGGGAUCUUCGGCAAUGGGCGAAAGUCUGACCGAGCAACGCCGGGGGAGUGAAUAAGGGUUUCGGAUCGUAAAACUCUGUUGGUAGAGAAGAACGUUGGGGAGAGUGGAAAGCUCAUCAAGUGACGGUAACUACCCAGAAAGGGACGGCUAACUACGUG